GCGGAAGUGGCGGAAUUGGUAGACGCGCUAGAUUUAGGUUCUAGUACCGUAAGGUGUGAGAGUUCAAGUCUCUCCUUCCGCACCA
rnacentral:tRNA from 1 species